rnacentral:rRNA from 1 species
AUUGAACGCUAGCGGUAUGCCUUACACAUGCAAGUCGAACGGCAGCACAGUCAUAGCUUGCUCUUACGGGGGCCGACGGGCGGGUGAUGUAUGAAAACAUCGGAAUUUACGUGUGCUAAGUGGACGACGGCGGGACACUUACCCCAAUACCGCAAAGGGGCUACGGAUGAAAGCAUGGGAUCUUCGAACCUUGCACCGGUCAAUGAGCCGAUAUCGGAUUAGCUAGUUGGCGGGGUAAAGGCCCACCAAGGCGACGAUCCGUAGCUGGUCUGAGAGGAUGAUCAGCCACACUGGAACUGAGACACGGUCCAGACUCCUACGGGAGGCAGCAGUGGGGAAUUUUGGACAAUGGGCGCAAGCCUGAUCCAGCCAUACCGCGUGGGUGAAGAAGGCCUUCGGGUUGUAAAGCACUUUUGUUGGGAAAGAAAAGCCGCAGGUUAAUACCCCGUUGAUCUGACGGUACCCAAAGAAUAAGCACCGGCUAACUUCGUG